AAGACGAGCAAGCUGCGUGAUAUCACGAGAGUCAGUACCGGUCAAGGCGAGCCUGAAAGCCAACGGCGAUGCUCGACGAGUGCGACGCUCAGCUCGCCUGCGUCGGGCCCAAAGUUGCCAUUGG
rnacentral:misc_RNA from 1 species